rnacentral:rRNA from 1 species
UACGGAGGGGGCGAGCGUUAUUCGGAAUUAUUGGGCGUAAAGGGCGCGUAGGCGGCCCGACAAGCGUGGGGUGAAAGUCCGGGGCUCAACCCCGGAUCGGCCUCGCGAACUGUCGGGCUGGAGCACUGUAGGGGCGGGUGGAAUUCCGGGUGUAGCGGUGGAAUGCGCAGAUAUCAGGAGGAACACCAAUUGCGAAGGCAGCUCGCUGGGACGUUACUGACGCUGAGACGCGAAAGCGUGGGGAGCAAACAGG